GAGUGGAGAUAUGGGUAAGAUAUCUUUAUUCUAUGUUACUGCCUGCAUCUUGAAGCUGGUAGGUAUAUUGUGACAGUUUUCUGUUAAUUUGUUUUUCCCCUAACAAUGUCGGUAAUCAGAAUAGUAUUUCAAUUUUAAGUUUAUUGUGUUUUACUUAUUAUCUAUGGUUUUUUCCCCCAGCACUUAUGUAAUAUGUUAUCGUUAUAAAAAAAGCCAAUAUUGUUCAUCAUUAUGAUCAACUCAUAACCAGAAUGAAUGGGAUUAAUUUGCAGCUAUCCAUACAUGGCAGUUGUUCUUAAUUUCAGUCAAAGCUGGGCCCUA
rnacentral:misc_RNA from 1 species